AUUGAACGCUGGCGGCAUGCCUAACACAUGCAAGUCGAACGGUAACGCAAGAAGCUUGCUUCUUGGCGACGAGUGGCGGACGGGUGAGUAAUGCUUAGGAAUCUGCCCAAUAGUGGGGGACAACCCGAGGAAACUCGGGCUAAUACCGCAUACGCUCUACGGAGGAAAGUGGAGGAUCUUCGGACUUCACGCUAUUGGAUGAGCCUAAGUCGGAUUAGCUUGUUGGUGAGGUAAAAGCUCACCAAGGCGACGAUCCGUAGCUGGUCUGAGAGGACGAUCAGCCACACUGGGACUGAGACACGGCCCAGACUCCUACGGGAGGCAGCAGUGGGGAAUAUUGGACAAUGGGGGCAACCCUGAUCCAGCAAUGCCGCGUGUGUGAAGAAGGCCUGCGGGUUGUAAAGCACUUUCAGUAGAGAAGAAAAGCUUAGGGUUAAUACCCCUGAGUCUUGACGUAACCUACAGAAGAAGCACCGGCUAACUCCG
rnacentral:rRNA from 1 species